ACGGAGGGUGCAAGCGUUAUCCGGAUUCACUGGGUUUAAAGGGUGCGUAGGCGGGUAGGUAAGUCAGUGGUGAAAUCUCCGAGCUUAACUCGGAAACUGCCAUUGAUACUAUCUAUCUUGAAUGUUCUGGAGAUGAGCGGAAUAUGUCAUGUAGCGGUGAAAUGCUUAGAUAUGACAUAGAACACCAAUUGCGAAGGCAGCUUACUACACGGUCAUUGACGCUGAGGCACGAAAGCGUGGGGAUCAAACAGGA
rnacentral:rRNA from 1 species